rnacentral:lncRNA from 1 species
CUUAAAUGGACACCAUGAAAUAGUGCAGCCUGGACGGGUAAGUGUUAUAGACUACCUUUUGCAAAUUUAACACGUACUCAGGCACCAUCUGUAGCUAAUUUUUAUUUUAGUUAUGAAAAUAGAUUACUCAUUAUUGUUAGUCUUUGCUGACCUAAUAUGGAUUGCUCCAUCCAUUCAAAACAUUUAUAAUGUAAGUCACCUUGACAAGAAGUCCAAUUCAAUUAGGAGAAAGGCAAGGGACCCCACAGAGUCCCAAUAAAAUGAUUUAAUGGGAUCAUUUUUAUUUUGUAAUACCAGCUAACCUCACACAGCUUUGAAGUCAAUUAUACUUAAAAUCUUUGAUGCAAAUAGGAUUAUGAAGGGAAGGAGAAAAUUGAUAUUUUGAUGCUCCUCAUAGAGCACAGAAGUGGCCUGGGGAAUUAAUUCAGGAAAAUUACAAAAUGCAGUUAUCCAGAUGCUGUAUAUGCCUCAGGACUAAGUACGAACUCAAUUACAUAUCAGUCCAUAUAGUUCCCCUGGGGCCAAUAUAUGAUUUAUGAAACUUUGUAUGCUUAUCUAAUCCUAUUCUUCUUUUGUUUUCCUUUUAUUUUCUGGCUUUUUUUUUUAAUCUUUCCUUUUGUCCAGUUUCUAAGUGACUUACAGGGUUUAAAAAGAAAAGUAUUGGGGGUGGGCAGGAUUGUAGCUCAGUGAUAGAGCACUUGCAGGAGGACCUGGGCUUGAUCACCAGCACCACAAUAGAAAAAAGGCAUGACUAUAAAAAGUCACAGGGAAAUUUGUCCUAGUUGUUCCAGGCUCCCACAAAAAAAAAAAAAAAAAAAAUCUUAGGGAAGAAAAAUGAAAAAGAAAUUGUAUGUAUAUUGCAAUUAUAAUGCGAUGGUUGGAAUAACUGAGUUUUUGCUUGGAUGAAUCAGGUUUUUCUCAAAGAAGGAAUUCUGAAGAAGCUAUCCCGGAAGGUCAUGCAGCCCCGAAUGUUUUUCCUGGUAAGAGGCCACAUGUAACUCUGAUGUGUCCAGGUCAUUGCUUAAUGUAACAAGACAUUUAUAUGCAACACACAAACACAACACAUUCAAAUACCAGUUUUAGUGGAGUCUUUGGCCAUAUUAUUUAGUUUCAUUUCAAGUAUAGAAAAUAAGGUCUGUUAUGAUGCAUAUCAGAAAAUGAUUUUCUUUUGGAAUUUAGUUUAAUUUCUAGAUUGGUAGAACUGUUUUUAAAAAAAUCAAUUAUUUUUUCAGGGAGACUGAAACCUUGGUGGGAUUUAGAAUUCAGAAAACCUUAAAUCUGUUAUAGAACUUAGAAAGGAAACACAUUUUCUAGAAAUUGCCUUUUGAAUAAUAUUCUCCUAAAACAUUUUAGAUGGUUUUAGUGUAUAUCAGCAGAACAUAAGUAUUUUGUUCAGAGAGCUAUUAACAUGAGGUAAUAUUUUCCCUUUAUUUUUUUUAUCAUAUCAGUAUCAUUGUAGCUAGUAUUACUUUCUGUAAUUUGUCCUAUGAAAUAUUUCUACUUUCAGUUUAAUGAUGCCCUGUUGUAUACAACACCGGUACAAUCUGGGAUGUAUAAACUGAACAACAUGCUCUCAUUGGCUGGAAUGAAGGUCAGUGCAUCUGUUAGAGGUUUUUUGUGUUUGUUCGUUUGUUUUGCUUUGCUUUGUUUGUUUGUGGUGCUGGAGAUCAAAUUCAGGGCCUCCUGCAUGCUAGACUAGUACUGUAACACUGAGUUUCAUCCCCAGCCCUUGAACAUUUUUUUUUUUUUUAACUGAGACAUGUUUAUAUAUGCAGAGAAAAAUCCCUAAGAAAUCAUCUUUCUCAUGUCAUUAACUCUUCUCUGUCCUUAUGCUACUGUUCAUGCAUCUGCUUAUUCAUUCAUGUCAUUUGUUCACUCAUGCAUUAAUUUAUUUCUACCAUAUUUAUUGAGAAUGACUAUAAACAAAACAUGGUAGUAGGUUUGAUGAAAAGUAGGAGGAUGAGUUGAGGAAUGAUUCUUUUUGUCUACCUCAGCCUCCCUCCCCAGAAAGAUUGAGUACACAGUUAGAAAGAUAAUACACUAUACAGUAGACAGUAAUAAAUAUCACUGUAAAGACAUAGUGAAAGGUAUUUAGGAAUUUAUAAAAUAAACACACAUCUUUUGAUGGGCAUAGUGAGGAACUGGCAUGCAUAUUUUGAUAGACAUCUAGGAAAGAGGAGAAUCAAGGAAGUCUAAAAAGAGCCAAUGAGCCUUAAAGUAUGGUUCAUAGGUGGCCACACUGGAAUAUGGGGAAAGGAAUUCUGGCUGGAGGGAAUAUUGUGACCAAAGGCCUGGGUUUGGGAAAUUUGGCCUGGAUGUGGGUAUUCAUCUGAAGCAUAGAGUAGGUGAUGGAGAUUAGAUGAUGGAGAUGGAGAUCAAGCUGAGUAGGAAUGUUGGUCCUGGAUGUUAGCAACUAGGCAACUUCAGCUGCAAUUCGGAGUUGGAAUGUACAAUAGGAUGAGUUUGCUCAGGUUUUUAUGCUUUCUUCCAGGUCAGAAAACCCACCCAGGAAGCAUAUCAGA